UACAGAGGUCUCAAGCGUUGUUCGGAUUCAUUGGGCGUAAAGGGUGCGUAGGCGGUGAGGUAAGUCGGAUGUGAAAUCCCGGGGCUCAACCCCGGAACUGCAUUCGAUACUGCCUUGCUUGAGCACUGGAGAGGAGACUGGAAUUUACGGUGUAGCAGUGAAAUGCGUAGAUAUCGUAAGGAAGACCAGUGGCGAAGGCGAGUCUCUGGACAGUUCCUGACGCUGAGGCACGAAGGCCAGGGGAGCAAACGGG
rnacentral:rRNA from 1 species